rnacentral:rRNA from 1 species
UACGAAGGAGGCUAGCGUUGUUCGGAAUUACUGGGCGUAAAGCGUGCGCAGGCGGCUUCUCAAGUCAGGGGUGAAAGCCCAGAGCUCAACUCUGGAAUUGCCUUUGAGACUGAGUGGCUUGAGUACGGGAGAGGUGAGUGGAAUUCCCAGUGUAGAGGUGAAAUUCGUAGAUAUUGGGAAGAACACCGGUGGGCGAAGGCGGCUCACUGGCCCGUAACUGACGCUCAUGCACGACAGCGUGGGGAUCAAACAGG